rnacentral:rRNA from 1 species
CCUACGGGUGGCAGCAGUGGGGGAUAUUGCACAAUGGGGGGAACCCUGAUGCAGCGACGCCGCGUGGGUGAAGAAGCGCCUCGGCGCGUAAAGCCCUGUCAGCAGGGAAGAAAAUGACGGUAUCUGUAGAAGAAGCCCCGGCUAAAUCCGUGCCAGCAGCCGCGGUAAUACGGAGGGGGCCAGCGUUAUCCGGAUUUACUGGGUGUAAAGGGGGCGCAGACGGCGAUGCAAGCCAGGAGUGAAAGCCCGGGGACCAACCCCGGGACUGCUCUUGGAACUGCGUGGCUGGAGUGCAGGAGGGGCAGGCGGAAUUCCUGGUGUAGCGGUGAAAUGCGUAGAUAUCAGGAGGAACACCGGUGGCGAAGGCGGCCUGCUGGACUGCAACUGACGUUGAGGCCCGAAAGCGUGGGGAGCAAACAGGAUUAGAUACCCGUGUAGUC